AACGCGAAGAACCUUACCAAGGCUUGACAUAUAGAGGAAAAGUGUAGAAAUACACUCCCCGCAAGGUCUCUAUACAGGUGGUGCAUGGUUGUCGUCAGCUCGUGUCGUGAGAUGUUGGGUUAAGUCCCGCAACGAGCGCAACCCUCGUCCUAUGUUGCCAGCACGUUAUGGUGGGAACUCAUGGGAUACUGCCGGGGUCAACUCGGAGGAAGGUGGGGAUGACGUCAAAUCAUCAUGCCCCUUAUGUCUUGGGCUUCACGCAUGCUACAAUGGCCGGUACAGAGGGCAGCAAUACCGCAAGGUGGAGCGAAUCCCAAAAAGCCGGUCUCAGUUCGGAUUGAGGUUUGCAACUUGACCUCAUGAAGUUGGAGUCGCUAGUAAUCGUGGAUCAACAACGCCGCGGUGAAUACGUUCCCGGGCCUUGUACACACCG
rnacentral:rRNA from 1 species